AUUGAACGCUGGCGGCAUGCUUUACACAUGCCAGUCGAACGGCAGCGCGGGCUUCGGCCUGGCGGCGAGCGGCGAACGGGUGAGUAAUGCAUCGGAACGUGCCCAGUAGUGGGGGAUAGCGUGGCGAAAGCCGGAUUAAUACCGCAUACGACCUGAGGGUGAAAGCGGGGGACCGAAAGACCUCGCGCUAUCGGAGCGGCCGAUGUCGGAUUAGCUAGUUGGUGGGGUAAAGGCUUACCAAGGCGACGAUCCGUAGCUGGUCUGAGAGGACGACCAGCCACACUGGGACUGAGACACGGCCCAGACUCCUACGGGAGGCAGCAGUGGGGAAUUUUGGACAAUGGGGGCAACCCUGAUCCAGCCAUGCCGCGUGCGGGAAGAAGGCCUUCGGGUUGUAAACCGCUUUUGUUCGGGAAGAAAUCCUCUAGGCUAAUACCCCGGGGGGAUGACGGUACCGGAAGAAUAAGCACCGGCUAACUACGUG
rnacentral:rRNA from 1 species